CAGUAGCCGCGGGAAUACGGAGGGUGCAAGCGUUAAUCGGAAUUACUGGGCGUAAAGCGUGCGCAGGCUGCUGUGUAAGACAGGUGUGAAAUCCCCGGGUUUAACCUGGGAACUGCGCUUGUGACUGCACAGCUAGAGUAUGGCAGAGGGGGGUGGAAUUCCACGUGUAGCAGUGAAAUGCGUAGAGAUGUGGAGGAACACCGAUGGCGAAGGCAGCCCCCUGGGCCAAUACUGACGCUCAUGCACGAAAGCGUGGGGAGCAAACAGGAUUAGAUACCCGCGUAGUCCCUGUCUCUUAUAC
rnacentral:rRNA from 1 species